ACGAACGCUGGCGGCGUGCCUAAUACAUGCAAGUAGCACGCUGAAGAGAGGAGCUUGCUCUUCUUGGAUGAGUUGCGAACGGGUGAGUAACGCGUAGGUAACCUGCCUUGUAGCGGGGGAUAACUAUUGGAAACGAUAGCUAAUACCGCAUAACAAUGGAUGACACAUGUCAUUUAUUUGAAAGGGGCAAUUGUUCCACUACAAGAUGGACCUGCGUUGUAUUAGCUAGUAGGUGAGGUAAUGGCUCACCUAGGCGACGAUACAUAGCCGACCUGAGAGGGUGAUCGGCCACACUGGGACUGAGACACGGCCCAGACUCCUACGGGAGGCAGCAGUAGGGAAUCUUCGGCAAUGGGGGCAACCCUGACCGAGCAACGCCGCGUGAGUGAAGAAGGUUUUCGGAUCGUAAAGCUCUGUUGUAAGUCAAGAACGGGUGUGAGAGUGGAAAGUUCACACUGUGACGGUAGCUUACCAGAAAGGGACGGCUAACUACGUG
rnacentral:rRNA from 1 species